CUCAAAUGAAUUGACGGGAGCCCGCACAAGCAGUGAGUAUGUGGUUUAAUUCGACGCAACGCGAAGAACCUUACCGGAACUUGACAUCCUGUCAAGGCGAAUGUAAUGUUUGCCGUGCCCUUCGGGGAGAGCAGAGACAGGUGGUGCAUGGUUGUCGUCAGCUCGUGUCGUGAGAUGUUGGGUUAAGUCCCGCAACGAGCGCAACCCUUACGGUUAGUUGCUACGAAAGAGCACUCUAGCCGGACUGCCGUUGACAAAACGGAGGAAGGCGGGGACGACGUCAAAUCAUCAUGCCCCUUACGUUCCGGGCUACACACGUACUACAAUGGCGCAAACAAAGGGAAGCGAGAUCGCGAGAUGGAGCAAACCCCAUAAAAGGCGUCCCAGUUCGGACUGCAGGCUGCAACCCGCCUGCACGAAGUUGGAAUUGCUAGUAAUCGCGGAUCAGCAUGCCGCGGUGAAUACGUUCCCGGGCUUU
rnacentral:rRNA from 1 species